AGUGAACGCUGGCGGUAGGCCUAACACAUGCAAGUCGAACGGCAGCACAGUAAGAGCUUGCUCUUACGGGUGGCGAGUGGCGGACGGGUGAGGAAUACAUCGGAAUCUACUUUUUCGUGGGGGAUAACGUAGGGAAACUUACGCUAAUACCGCAUACGACCUACGGGUGAAAGCAGGGGAUCUUCGGACCUUGCGCGAUUGAAUGAGCCGAUGUCGGAUUAGCUAGUUGGCGGGGUAAAGGCCCACCAAGGCGACGAUCCGUAGCUGGUCUGAGAGGAUGAUGAGCGACACUGGGACUGAGAGACGGUCCAGACUCCUAGGGGAGGCAGCAGUGGGGAAUAGUGGACAAUGGGCGGAAGCCUGAUCCAGCCAUACCGCGUGGGUGAAGAAGGCCUUCGGGUUGUAAAGCCCUUUUGUUGGGGAAGAAAAGCAGCAGGUUAAUACCCCGCUGUUCUGACGGUACCUAAAGAAUAAGCACCGGCUAACUUCGUG
rnacentral:rRNA from 1 species